rnacentral:rRNA from 1 species
UACGUAGGGGGCAAGCGUUGUCCGAAUUUAUUGGGCGUAAAGAGCGUGUAGGCGGCCUGGUAGGUCAGCUGUGAAAACUCGAGGCUCAACCUCGAGACGCCGGUUGAAACCAUCAGGCUAGAGUCCGGAAGAGGAGAGUGGAAUUCCCGGUGUAGCGGUGAAAUGCGCAGAUAUCAGGAAGAACACCAAUGGCGAAAGCAGCUUUCUGGGACGGUACUGACGCUGAGACGCGAAAGCGUGGGGAGCGAACAGG